CACCAGACUCCUACGGGAGGCAGCAGUGGGGAAUAUUGCACAAUGGGGGAAACCCUGAUGCAGCGACGCCGCGUGAGUGAAGAAGUAUUUCGGUAUGUAAAGCUCUAUCAGCAGGGAAGAAAUAGCGACCUUUGGGUCGCCAGACGGUACCUGACUAAGAAGCCCCGGCUAACUACGCGCCAGCAGCCGCGGUAAUACGUAGGGGGCAAGCGUUAUCCGGAUUUACUGGGUGUAAAGGGAGCGUAGACGGCAGCACAAGUCAGCGGUAAAAUUGAGGGGCUCAACCCGGGCCGGCCGUUGAAACUGGGGAUCUUGAGUGGGCGAGAAGUAUGCGGAAUGCGUGGUGUAGCG
rnacentral:rRNA from 1 species